rnacentral:misc_RNA from 1 species
UUCUAGGGACUUUUGAAAUUACCCUAUAAUUUUGUAUAUGUACAUCUCUGAUAUGUAUUCCAGACGAGAACAGCUGACCUGUGAUCGUAUUGAUCUUAAAAGCCGGUGACUUCAUAACAGAAGGCAUAACCUGCUUUCAUUGAUAAGUAUAAGAGAUCUCUGCAUGGUACUCUACAAGUAAACAAUUGUUAAACAACAUCGCAAAUGAAUAAAAAUGAGUCAAUGAGCAGAUACGGCCCACUAGUAGGUGCUAUUGACGCAGGAACCGGCAGCUGUAGAUUUUUGGUAUUCGCGGCAGAGACUGCCGAGGUGUUGACCUAUCAUCAAGUAUCGGUAUCGCAGUCGUACCCCAAAGAAGGAUGGGUUGAGCAAGAUCCUGUAGAAAUAAUUAAGGCAGUGAAAGAAUGCCUUGAUCAAACAGUCUCCAAUUUACAACAACUGACGAUAGAUCCUUCAGACAUCGUUGCUAUAGGUGUUACAAAUCAAAGGGAGACUACAAUCGUCUGGGACUCGCUAACCGGAGAACCGUUGUAUAACGCGAUAGUAUGGAUGGACAUGCGCACAACCAGGAUCGUCGACGAUAUCCUAAAGAAAGUACGCUUUCAAAAUAAGAAUUACCUGAAGCCUUUGUGCGGGCUGCCGAUCAGUCCAUAUUUCAGCGCCCUCAAGUUAAAAUGGCUUUUGCAAAAUGUUACAAGGGUACAAGAAGUGGUCGCCGAAAAACGAUGCAUGUUUGGCACCGUUGAUUCCUGGAUAAUUUGGAACCUGACUGGAGGAAUAAACGGCGGUGUGCACAGCACAGAUGUUACCAACGCGUCGAGAACAAUGCUGAUGAACAUCGAGACAUUAAAAUGGGACCCGGUACUUUUGUCAUUUUUUGAUAUUCCACGAGAAAUCUUACCCCAAAUACGUAGCUCCUCAGAAAUUUAUGGUCACAUUCAAGAAGGAUUACUUAGAGGAGUUCCCAUCUCAGGGUGCUUAGGGGAUCAGCAAUCGGCGUUGGUCGGACAAAUGUGUCUGCAACAAGGGCAGGCUAAAAGCACUUACGGAACAGGCUGCUUCCUUCUUUACAACACAGGAUCUGCGAUAGUGGAUUCAUCUCACGGACUGUUAACAACAGUUGCCUACCAAUUCGGCCCUGAUGCUCAACCUGUAUAUGCACUAGAAGGCUCAGUGGCGAUAGCUGGGGCAGUGAUACGAUGGCUAAAGGAUAACAUGGGUAUAAUAUCGGAUGUGAACGAGUGCGAAUCGAUAGUGCGCCAAGUUUCCAACGAUAAUCGCAUAACUUUCGUGCCAGCAUUUUCCGGCCUUUAUGCCCCUUACUGGAGAAAAGAUGCUCGCAGCGUGAUAUGCGGAAUCACGGAGGACACAAACAGCGGGCACAUAGUCAAGGCAGCUCUGCAAGCUGUGUGUUUUCAGACGAGAGACAUUUUAGAAGCAAUGAAAAAAGACACCGGUUUGGUAUUGUCGAAACUUUUAGUCGACGGCGGUAUGACUGCGAAUAAUCUACUCAUGCAAAUGCAGGCGGAUAUUUGCGGUAUACCCGUGGGAAGUCAGGCCAUUGAUGUGUGAAACAACUGCUUUGGGUGCCGCGAUCGCUGCUGGUUGCGCAAGCGGAAUACGAAAAUGGGACGUUAAAUUAGACGCGGCUGUUCCAAGUGAUACUUUUCUGCCUUCCAUCACCGAGGAUGAACGAGACGUUUUGUUUUCUCAAUGGAAAAUGGCUAUAGACAGAAGUCUGGGUUGGGAGCCUUUAUUGGAUGAGGACG